rnacentral:rRNA from 1 species
GGGUUGUGAGGUUAAGCGACUAAGCGUACACGGUGGAUGCCCUGGCAGUCAGAGGCGAUGAAGGGCGUGCUAAUCUGCGAUAAGCGCCGGUAAGGUGAUAUGAACCGUUAUAACCGGCGAUACCCGAAUGGGGAAACCCAGUGUGACUCGUCACACUAUCAUUAACUGAAUCCAUAGGUUAAUGAGGCGAACCGGGGGAACUGAAACAUCUAAGUACCCCGAGGAAAAGAAAUCAACCGAGAUUCCCCCAGUAGCGGCGAGCGAACGGGGAGGAGCCCAGAGCCUGAAUCAGCAUGUGUGUUAGUGGAAGCGUCUGGAAAGGCGCGCGAUACAGGGUGACAGCCCCGUACACAAAAGCGCAUGUGCUGUGAGCUCGAUGAGUAGGGCGGGACACGUGGUAUCCUGUCUGAAUAUGGGGGGACCAUCCUCCAAGGCUAAAUACUCCUGACUGACCGAUAGUGAACCAGUACCGUGAGGGAAAGGCGAAAAGAACCCCGGCGAGGGGAGUGAAAAAGAACCUGAAACCGUGUACGUACAAGCAGUGGGAGCACCCUUUGGGGUGUGACUGCGUACCUUUUGUAUAAUGGGUCAGCGACUUAUAUUCUGUAGCAAGGUUAACCGAAUAGGGGAGCCGGAGGGAAACCGAGUCUUAAC